rnacentral:rRNA from 1 species
GACGAACGCUGGCGGCGUGCCUAAUACAUGCAAGUUGAGCGCUGAAGGUUGGUACUUGUACCAACUGGAUGAGCAGCGAACGGGUGAGUAACGCGUGGGGAAUCUGCCUUUGAGCGGGGGACAACAUUUGGAAACGAAUGCUAGUACCGCAUAAAAACUUUAAACACAAGUUUUAAGUUUGAAAGAUGCAAUUGCAUCACUCAAAGAUGAUCCCGCGUUGUAUUAGCUAGUUGGUGAGGUAAAGGCUCACCAAGGCGAUGAUACAUAGCCGACCUGAGAGGGUGAUCGGCCACAUUGGGACUGAGACACGGCCCAAACUCCUACGGGAGGCAGCAGUAGGGAAUCUUCGGCAAUGGACGAAAGUCUGACCGAGCAACGCCGCGUGAGUGAAGAAGGUUUUCGGAUCGUAAAACUCUGUUGGUAGAGAAGAACGUUGGUGAGAGUGGAAAGCUCAUCAAGUGACGGUAACUACCCAGAAAGGGACGGCUAACUACGUG